rnacentral:rRNA from 1 species
UACGUAGGUGGCGAGCGUUGUCCGGAUUUACUGGGCGUAAAGAGCGCGCAGGCGGUCGUUCAAGUCGCGUGUGAAAGCCCCCGGCUCAACUGGGGAGGGUCACGCGAUACUGAUCGACUCGAAGGCAGGAGAGGGUAGUGGAAUUCCCGGUGUAGCGGUGAAAUGCGCAGAUAUCGGGAGGAACACCAAUGGCGAAGGCAGCUCGCUGGGACGGUACUGACGCUGAGACGCGAAAGCGUGGGGAGCAAACAGG